CAGGCCUAACACAUGCAAGUCGAGCGAGACCUUCGGGUCUAGCGGCGGACGGGUUAGUAACGCGUGGGAACGUGCCCUUCUCUACGGAACAGUCCCGGGAAACUGGGUUUAAUACCGUAUACGCCCUUCGGGGGAAAGAUUUAUCGGAGAAGGAUCGGCCCGCGUCUGAUUAGAUAGUUGGUGGGGUAACGGCCUACCAAGUCGACGAUCAGUAGCUGGUUUGAGAGGAUGAUCAGCAACACUGGGACUGAGACACGGCCCAGACUCCUACGGGAGGCAGCAGUGGGGAAUCUUAGACAAUGGGCGCAAGCCUGAUCUAGCCAUGCCGCGUGAGUGAUGAAGGCCUUAGGGUCGUAAAGCUCUUUCGCUGGGGGAGAUAAUGACGGUACCCAGUAAAGAAACCCCGGCUAACUCCGUGCCAGCAGCCGCGGUAAUACGGAGGGGGUUAGCGUUGUUCGGAAUUACUGGGCGUAAAGCGCGCGUAGGCGGAUUGGAAAGUUGGGGGUGAAAUCCCGGGGCUCAACCCCGGAACUGCCUCCAAAACUAUCAGUCUAGAGGUCGAGAGAGGUGAGUGGAAUUCCGAGUGUAGAGGUGAAAUUCGUAGAUAUUCGGAGGAACACCAGUGGCGAAGGCGGCUCACUGGCUCGAU
rnacentral:rRNA from 1 species